GACGAAGGGGGCUAGCGUUGUUCGGAAUUACUGGGCGUAAAGCGCGUGUAGGCGGUUUUUUAAGUCCGGUGUGAAAGCCUUGAGCUCAACUCAAGAAAUGCACUUGAUACUGGAUGACUAGAGGACCGGAGAGGAUAGUGGAAUUCCCAGUGUAGUGGUGAAAUACGUAGAGAUUGGGAAGAACACCAGUGGCGAAGGCGGCUAUCUGGACGGUUUCUGACGCUAAGACGCGAAAGCGUGGGGAGCAAACAGG
rnacentral:rRNA from 1 species